rnacentral:rRNA from 1 species
UACGAAGGGGGCUAGCGUUGCUCGGAAUCACUGGGCGUAAAGGGUGCGUAGGCGGGUCUUUUAAGUCAGGGGUGAAAUCCUGGAGCUCAACUCCAGAACUGCCUUUGAUACUGAAGAUCUUGAGUUCGGGAGAGGUGAGUGGAACUGCGAGUGUAGAGGUGAAAUUCGUAGAUAUUCGCAAGAACACCAGUGGCGAAGGCGCUCACUGGCCCGAUACUGACGCUGAGGCGCGAAAGCCG